CUGCGGUCCGCCGCAGGGCCAGAGGGUAAAAGGGAAACAGGUGUGAAUCCUGUACGAUCUCGUCACUGUGAUUGGGGAGUGCAAGGCAACGUGCCGCGGCACAGUCACUGACCUGCGGGUUGGGAAGACUGCUUUGCGUGAUGAUCCAUCAGCCAGGAAACCUGCCGCCUGU
rnacentral:ncRNA from 1 species